rnacentral:rRNA from 1 species
GAUGAACGCUGGCGGCGUGCCUAAUACAUGCAAGUCGAGCGAACGGACGAGAAGCUUGCUUCUCUGAUGUUAGCGGCGGACGGGUGAGUAACACGUGGAUAACCUACCUAUAAGACUGGGAUAACUUCGGGAAACCGGAGCUAAUACCGGGUGAUAUUUUGAACCGCAUGGUUCAAAAGUGAAAGACGGUCUUGCUGUCACUUAUAGAUGGAUCCGCGCUGCAUUAGCUAGUUGGUAAGGUAACGGCUUACCAAGGCAACGAUGCAUAGCCGACCUGAGAGGGUGAUCGGCCACACUGGAACUGAGACACGGUCCAGACUCCUACGGGAGGCAGCAGUAGGGAAUCUUCCGCAAUGGGCGAAAGCUUGACGGAGCAACGCCGCGUGAGUGAUGAAGGUCUUCGGAUCGUAAAACUCUGUUAUUAGGGAAGAACAUAUGUGUAAGUAACUGUGCACAUCUUGACGGUACCUAAUCAGAAAGCCACGGCUAACUACGUG